rnacentral:lncRNA from 1 species
AUCACCCAAGUUCAACCCCAACGCAAGACCAAAGUCAUGUUGUGGUGCACUAGAGGCAAAGUCAACACUCCAUCUGCCUUCGCCCCCAAGAUCAGUCCCGUGGGUCUGUUUCCAAGGAAUAACUCCAAGGUAAUAACGUUGCUAAGGGCACCAGUGAUUGGAAAAGUCUGAGAGUAACAGUGAAACUGGCUAUUCAGAACAGACAGACCCAGAUAAGAUGGUUCCGUCUGCCUCUGCCCUGCUCACCCAAGUCCUCCGGGAGCCACCGAGAAGUAGGAAAACAUUAAAACACAAUGGAAACAUCACCUUCACGAGAUUGUCAACAGUUCCAGAUAAGAUUCAACAACAGUCUUUAGCCAGAGAAUUUUCUGGAACUAUUAAGGAGAUUCCGGUACUGCACAGUCUGUGGGCUGCAAUGUGGAUGGCUGCCACCCUGUGACAUUAUAGAUGACAUCUGCAGGGGUGCAGUGGAAUGCCUAGCACC